rnacentral:lncRNA from 1 species
UAUUGAAACUAAAUUGAAAUCCAUUAAAGAAGACAUAAACAACACCACCAUACAAAAUGUCACAUUCAAACAAACCAUUACAGAUAGUACGAAAUGCAAUGAAAGACAGAGGAAUUGGUACAAUAAUAAAGACAGACACAUACUAAUGCAACCCUUCACCAUAGGCAAAACGGUCUACAAACAAGAAAUUAUGAAAAUACAGCACUAAUUCUUGAACAUCAUUUGCAGUAAUUAGAUCCUUCUUCAUCUACUGCUGCGAUUGCCUUCCUUUGACUUUCUUCUUCGCCUCCUCUCAUGUUGGUUUUCAACCAAAUUCACCAACCAUUUCGGCUUUCCAGUUUGGAAAACAACAUAUCCCACGAACAUUCCGAACACUACUCCGCAUCCAUAACCUAUCAACACCACUUUCCAACCAAAAGCAAUGUUUGAUUUAGAGCCAUCUUUUUCAAGCACAUUUGGAGGUGGUGGGUUAAUGUUGUUGCAACCUUUCGAGACUGGAAACCCACACAGUCCCUUAUUUCCUUCAUAUGAAUCAUUUCCAAAUGUGUUGAAUUGUUUGCCUUGAGGAAUCUGACCAUGGAGUUGAUUUUCAGAAACAUUUAAGGAGGAAAGAAAUGGCAGAUCUGCCAAUCUAUUUGGAAUCGUCCCAGACAACCUGUUUGAACAUAGGUCCAACCAUUCAAGACUUGUCAAAUCCCCUAUUGAGGUGGGGAUAUUACCAUUAAGGUUAUUAUGAGAAAUGUUGAGCCCUUUCAGUAAGUUAAGCUUCCCAAUAACCUUUGGAAUUCCCCCUUCAAACUGAUUGUUUGAUAGAUCAAUGAUCAUCCACAUGGUGAAAAUUUUCACCAAUUCCCUAUCUUGUCCUUUCAUAACAAUUCCAAUGGAAUAGGUAUAGAAGUCACCUCCAUCAUCAUUCACCCCCAUGUACGACACUGUACUACCAAUCUUCUCUAGAUUUAUGAUAGCCUUGAAGCUGUUGAUGUAUCUCACUGGUAGGGGUCCAGAAAAAUAAUUACUUGAGAGAUCAAAAAUUUGGAUUUUUGAGAAAAAAGGGAUAGACUUGGAGCUAUUGACACAUAAGGAACCAUUCAAUUGAUUUGACUUCAAAACAAGAACUUGUAGCUGUGGAAGACUUCCCAACCAAUGAGGAAAUGUAUCAUUGAUCUUGUUGUUACCCAGAUCUAGCACUUCCAGACCAUUACAAUUAAGGACGGAUGGUGUCAAAGGCCCUUCUAACAGAUUUCCAUUUAAGUUGAAAUUACUCAAUUGGCAUCCCAUUGCAAAUGUUGGAGGAAUCGUCCCAUAGAACUUGUUCUUCUUCAGAUUCAAGAAUAGAAGGCUGUUGCUCAAAUUUCCAAAACAUUGUGGAAUUGUUCCACUCAAGUUAUUGUGGGACAAAUCAAGAAUUUCAAGAAAAGCGGCAUUGCAUAUUAAAGAAGAGACCUCUCCAUUGAAGCUAUUAUUAGAGAUCAAAAAGACAUUGAUGGUCGAAGCUGGAAUCGGAAGAUUUCCACUGAUCAAAUUGGAGCUUAAGUCAAGAACUUCAAUAUUCUUCCAUGGAAAGUGCUCAACUUCUGUCAAAGAGUUGUGAGAUACGUUUAAGUAAGUCAAAGAGUCAUUCCCCACCUCUUGCAUCCACCGUGGAAUCUUGCCUUCAAUUCUGUUGUAAGAGAGGUCCAAGCUUUUCAAACUUUUAAGCCCUUUUAAAAAUUGGGGGAAUUCACUAAGAUUGCAAGAUGACAAAAAUAAGCUUGUAAGAUUAACAGAAGAAGUAGUAUUAGAUGUUAAGGAUAGGCUGUUAUAUGAAAGGUCAAGAUAUUCGAGAUUUGGAAGGUUUGAGAACAUGCUAAACGCUAUGACACCAGUAAGAUUAUUUGAGGAUAAAUUGAGCUUGGUAAGAUUGAGAAAUUGGAAUAUUGAAGAUGGAAGAGGACCUUGGAGUUUAUUAUUCUCUAACUCUAUCAAUUCUAGUGAUUUGGAUUGGAAGUCCUUGAUAUGCCCACUGAAUUGAUUUUGAGAGAGUUUCAUAUCCUUUAAGGAGGGAGAAGUAUACAACCAUGAUGGAAGUGCUCCACUGAGUAAAUUGUUAGUUAAGUCUAAAGAUAUUAGAUUAGGAAAAGCGGUUACCUCAUCUGGAAUAGAACCUUUUAAUGCAUUUCCAGCUAUUCUCAAGUAUUCCAGCUGCGUUAGGUUUAGAAUUGACAAUGGAAUUUGUCCAUUCAAUUGGUUCUGCCACAAGCCUAAAUAAGUGAGUUGCAAGAGGUUCCCCAAUGAUCUUGGAAUUUGUCCACUCAAUUGGUUUUGCCACAAGCCUAAAUAAGUGAGUUGCAAGAGGUUCCCCAAUGAUCUUGGAAUUUGUCCACUCAACUGGUUCCCGGAUAAGUCUAAAUGAGUGAGUUGCAAGAGAUUCCCCAGUGAUUUUGGAACCGGUCCUGAUAAGUUGGAAUAGGAGAGAUCUAAAAACUUCAAGGACACAAGAUUACCCACCGAGUCUGGCAAUCCUCCAAAAAAAUUUGCGCCUGAAAUUAUCAAUUGCUCCAAACAUGAUAAAUUUGUGAUUGAGACAGACAAUCCUUGAAAGAAAGAAUUUCCUGAUUGAUCUAAGUACUUUAAGGCCUGUAGAUUAUCAACUCAAUCAAUGAAUUCUGUAGAGAAGGACGUCCAUGACAGAUCCAAAUGUUCAAGAUUGCUGCUCCGAUUCAACUUCAAAGGAUCAAGAUUGAGGUUUUGGUUGUCUCCCAAGUUGAGGAGAUUGAGGUUUGGCAAAUCAAAAAUGUUUUUUGGGAAUUUUCCUUGCAAAUCACAACCAGCAAGACUGAGAGACCUUAGAGAAGAGGAUAGAUUCAUGAAGACAUGAGCAUUAACAGAAGCCAUCUCCAUUCCAUCCAAAAACAGAUGUCUGACCUCGGUUAGGUUUUGAACAAGUCCCUCCAGAGCAUGUUUGUCUCCUACAAACCCUGUACUGGAAAGGUCGAGGUAGAGUAGGCUUGUAAACCGACCUAACUCGGAUGGAAUUUCGGAAAGAUUAAACUCAUUGUAGGCAAGGUUGAGUUUUUGAAGUUGAGGAAGAAGGAAGAGAGUGGAAUUGGAAGGGAAGUUGCCAUAUAGCCAACUGCAGCUCAAGUCAAGGGCAAUAACAUGAGCAUUUAGGUGGUCACAAGUGACCCCAUCCCAUGAGCAGCAAUCUGUACCCUCCUUCCAUGAAUUUGUCUUGGGAUAAGAUUUAAGGCCAGCAAUCCCAUUGCAAUAAGAAGAAGCAUCCUCUGUUAUGGAAAAAGAGUCCUCAAACUGGAUUAGUGAAGAGCAGGAGUGAGAUCCAGAAGAAGAAAAAGAAGCAUAAAGAUGGGGAAAGAAGAGGAAUAGGCAGAGGAAGAGAUAGGGGGCCAUGUUAUGUCUGUAGAGGAAGAUGAAGGAUAGGAAUGGUAUUUAUAGGCAACAAAUAAUACCGCAGUGUUACAGUCUUUUUUUCUUUUACAUUGAGAAGCUAUGGAUAUUAGAUUUUCAAAAUUUUUGUACUUUUCACAAUCAUCAACAACCACUUAGUCUUCUUUUUACCAUAUAUUUUUCAUUCUUAAAAUUGGAUGCUUUCUUUUCGCAAAAUCUUGUAUAUAAUUUGGUCUCCCUAAACAACUAAAAAAUUUAAGAUUAAUGAGAUUACAAAGUAGAUUAAUUUAGCGUUCUUCUCUAUAACACGUAAAGAAUGUGUGUAUGUAUUCACUUGCCUAUCAACCAAAGCUAAUUAAUGUGGAAAUUCUUUUCCACCCAAAAGAACAAAAUUGUGCUCUAUUCAUUAAGUUUGAGGAAGAAGAUUGCUGGGAAAUUUAAUCCACUGAUUCCAUAAAAAAUGUGUAUACUUAUAUAACCUCAUAAUUCAAAUCUAAAAUCUCAUUUGUUAUAAAUUCUGAUAAAUUUCUUUGGAAUUGCUAUUUUUCAUUCGCUAAUUAUUUCUCUUUUAAUCGAGUAAAAAAUUAAAACUAAAAAGACAUAAUGAUUUAUUUGUCAUUUUUUAACUUUACAAACAAAAAGUCAUUUUAACUUUUCAUUUUUUUUUAUCUCUUUUAAAUCACCCAAAAAAAAUGAUGAAAAAGACUAACACUGUUUGUUGACGUGACAAUGCCAUAUGAUCAAUAAUCACCGACAUGGUAGUGCCACGCUAUCGCCCAUUGGUGACAUAUUAACCUUUGAGUUAAACUCAAAUUACUCUUUCCUUUGUUAUAAAUUAAGAGUAUAACUAAUUUUGAUAAGAAAGAUUACUUUUCAUUAACUCAGUUUAAAGGGUUACAACAAGUAAAGUUUGGUCUAUUGCAGAAUUCACAUGCAAUGCGGGACAUUUACAUUAUGCAGAAUUCGACACAUAUAUUGGAAUUUUUGUAUUUCCACAAUCAUCAUGUUGUUCGUGAUCAACAACUACUUCUUUUUACCAUAUAUUUUUCAUUCAUAAAAUUGAUUACUUUUUUUUUUACCAAAGACGUAAAAUUAUUAACAUUCAUGAGAUUACAAAGUUAUUUAUCACUUCUAAUAUCUAAUAUUUCAUUGUAGAAUAAUUAAAUUAUUUGUUUCACUAAUGAUAUUUUAACACAUUAACUAUGUAUUGCAGUUUAAAAAUAAUAAUGUAGAUUAUAUAUUAUUUUUAUAGUAUUAUAUAAUAUGAUUUUAGUAAAUUCAUAUAAUAGUAAUUAUGUUAAGAAUUUUAUUAAAUUAUAUUUAAUAAUAAUUAUUUUCAAAUAUGGUUAAAUUAUUUAUUAUUUUUAUUAAAUUAUUUUUAAUAAUAAUCUUAUUAGAAUUUAAUAACAAUAAUCAUCUACCUAAAAAAAAUCUGCUAAAAGUAUUCUAGUCAUUUUAGUUUUUUUCCUUAUGCUGUUACAACAUCAUUCCAUUCAACCAAACACAAGAAUACUAUUACAGUUCUAUUCCGUUCCAUUCAAACAAACAAUUGAAUUACUGAUUACAACUCUAUUCUAUUACAGUGAACCAAAUGUACCCUUAAUAUGAAUGGCUGUCAAGCAAUGUAGAAAUUUGCACACAAAAGAACAAAAUUGUGCACUACUUAAAAAUUCAAAGCAUGUGUGGCCUAUAUUCAUUUGUUUUAUUGCAUAAAAUUGAAGGCACGUAUGUUGAAUAAUUUUCCCAAAAACUCAUUUCACUCUUAGCUUUAUAAUGAAAAAAAAGUUAUUUUAGCCCUUAAUUUAAUUUUUCAUCUUUUUUAGCCCUUAAACCUACAUUAUUUAUCAAAUAACCCUUAAACUUACAUUGUUUAUCAGAUGAAAAAAUUAAUAUCAAUUAACUUUGCUAAUGUGCAUACAUAUGCAACUUCAUUUAAAUCUAAAAAAUAUAAAAAUAAUUAAAUAUGUAUAAAUCUAAAGAUAUCCUAAAAUUAAAACUAAAAUUUUUUAAACUAAUGCAAAUUUUUAUUAUUUAAAAAAAUCUUAAAAAUUUUCAAAAUAAAUUCCAUUUGUUUUCAAAUAAAGAGAAAAAUUGAAAACCAUGAAAUGUUAAGUGUGCCUUUUGUUCAGCCAUUUUUUUCCCCUUUCUAGCAAAUUACAGAUCUGAAAAUAGUGAUCAAAUUGUCCUUGAUCGUCUAAUUUUGGUUAGGGGACAUGUUGGAAAAGGAUUAACCCUACAGUUAUAUUUUGUCUCCUCUCAUCAAUGGUAUUGUGAUACCCAAAGUUUGGUAUCAUGAUAUCUACAACAGUCUUGGGGAUCUUUGGGAGUUUUGGGUAUCGCGAUACCUUAUAACCAGUAUCACGAUAACACUGUUGAUGGCUCAAUUUUCCUUGUUUUUAACAUUGUUAUGGGUAUUACGACUUUCAUGCUUUGAUAUGCGAUAUCCUCUUUCUAGGUGACAUUUUCGCUCCUUCUGAGCCACCAUGGGCUCUCUGCAUCACUCACGAGCCUCAUCAGAUUCCCCGGGUGCCCUUUGGCCAUCUCAGGUCUCAAAAUAGUAUCAAAAUGCACACUAAUCAUUUAUUAAUAUAAAGAACAAAAACUAAAUAAAAAAACAACAAAGAUAUCUAAAUUCCUUGAAAAUAAGCUUUUAAGUGUGAUGGAGAGCCUAAUUUAACAUAUCAAUUUACAGCAGAUCAUAAACAUAAUUUGCGGAACAUUGUUUAAAUUUCGAACUUCUUUAUUAGUUUUCUUUCAAUAUUCUGUACGGUACAUUUGUAGUAAUAUAUUGUGCAGAUCAUAGACUACAUUGCUUUAUUAGUGUUCUAUUGUUAAUCUUUUAUUAUUAUUAUUAACACCACUUCCUUUUUACCAUAUAAUUUUUAUCCAUAAAAAUGAAGAGUUGAUUUACCAAAAAUUAGUAUUUCAUUUGAACUCCCUAAAGAAAGAAGAAGAAUUGAUGAGAUUACAAAGUAUAUUGACUUGCUCUUGCUUCCUUUAUAUGUAUGAAUGUGGAAUUUGGCAUAAUGCCAACUUAUUUUCCACGCAGAAGAAAACGGCGCUCUAUUCACUCCCUUUAACUUGACAAAAUACAGGACAUGUGAUCCACCAAUUAAUGUUUGACUAUCUCCAUCUCACUUUUUAUUAAUCAAGGAAUAUAAGCUUACUAUUUCAACAUUUCACAAGCAACAGCUAAAAUAAUAUUGGUCACAUUAUAAGACAAAAGUUAAAACAGCCUUCAGUACUUCAUCUACAUUCCACGUCAAAUCUGCAAGCAUCAAAUAUUGACCUUUGAACUCCAUAGUCCAUAAUAACAACACCAAUUUCUAACAAUUGCAGAAGAAUGUCCAGUAAUUCCACACAAAUCAACAACAAUUUGCAGCAUCCACUACAUUCAUAUGAAUUCCACACAAAUUAAGACUGCAAAUUCUAACUUGUUUAUACCCUCAAUGAAGCUACCUAAAAGAUAUGAAUUUUAUAAUAUUCUAAAGUUAAGUGACCAGAACAUAAAUUUUCUAAUAGAUUAGUACUUGAGGUGUAGUUUACCUUAUAAUAAAUAACUAAAAUAAAUUUGUGAAUCAAUUGCAUAAUUAAAUUAAGAUUUUCAAGCCUUUUACCAAACCAAACUUGAAAGGAGAAAAAGAUUCAUGAAAGAAUCCACUUUUAAAAGACUUUCACUUUUCCCAAGUCCAAUACACAAAUUCACAAGAUCCCACACUUUCAUUUAUCCUCUUCAGAAAGCAAGGUCCACAACAAGAGAUUAAUUUAGAUAUUAAUUAUUUUAUUUUAAUUAAGUGAGUUUAAAUUAAUGAUAUUUGUUAUAAUAAUUAAGUUAUACUUUCGGGAAGGUUGAUAAUAAUGUUCACACCAUAGAUGUUGUGAAGAGCCACUAAAAGUGAUAAUUUAUCUAUGCUGAAAAGGUGUUUGAAUAGAGUAUUGGACAAUGUCCUACCUAAAGACCCAAAAGGGAUGCCAAUUUAAGAUCCAAGGAAGCCUUCGACUUAUCUCACUUGUGUAAGGAGCAGCAGUUAUCUCUUUACUAUUAACAACAUAAUCAUAUUCUAUAAUUCACCUUUAAGGUGUCUUAUUCACUUGUUUAGGUCAACUAUACCAAAUUCAGCAUUUUAUUUCGCCAAACCAAAAUUGUUAUUUGCCAUAUAGGGAUCGCCAAGCCUAUAAAAGCCAAAAUCAUUUCAAAGAUUUGCCUCGUUUAGCUCGAUUCUUCAAUUUAUCUUCUCAAUCUCAAUUAUUAACGUUUGUCUCUCCAACUUGCCUCCUCAAAUUUAAUCAUUAAAACUAAAUGCAUUACGUGCUCACCAUACUACAAGAACAUAAACUUAUUUAUUUCAAGAGGAUCACUUUAUAAAUUUCCAUCAAUUAGGGAAAAAUUAUUAUACCUCUAUAAGUAUAUUUUAAAAUAUGGCGAUAUUUCAAGAUACCACCUAUCACAUUUCAAUAAAACUCAUUAUAUAUCUACCACCAUCAUAAUUAAGUAAUAGAGGCAUCAUUCUAUAUGGACACACAUCAAGCUCAUUUCCUUUUAUGUAAAGUCCUCUCCAUAACCUCUCAUAAUAAAUUUUGAAAAUAAUUAAUGUUAAUUAUUCACGUAAUUCUAAUUUUCAAUUAUUUCCUUAAAAAUUAAAAAUAACUACUCUGUUAAUGCCAUGUAGCUAUCUUGAUUAAUGAUUUCAUUUAAUUUGUUUUCCUCCUGACUGGGAAAUGUGGACUUGACAACAAAAUGAAAUUUGAGCAUGACACCUUAAUUUUGUGGUUGGUUUGACGAAUACUGAAGGUUGGUCAUCUUGAAACAUAUAUAAAAUUAAAUGAUUGAAUUAUUUGAAAUCAUGAAAUAAAAUAAUUAUGAAAUUAGAAUUUAAGAUUAGAGGUUAUUUUUAGAAAUUUAACUUUUUAAUUAAUUAAUUUAGCACAAAUUUUAUACAAGUCAUGAACUUAAUUUCAUCAAAUUAUAUUAUCCAACUUUUACUGUUAAUAAAUUAAGCGGUAAAAAAACACAUGUCUUGAUAUAAAUAUCAAAAUUGAUUAUAUUUAAGGUGGUACAAAUAAUUGCAAGAAAUUGUAAUUAUUAGGUAGUGAUUAUAACCUCUCAUAGUAAAUUUUGAAAAUAAUUAAUGUUAAUUAUUCACGUAAUUCUUCUAAUUUUCAAUUAUUUCCUUAAAAAUUAAAAAGUGUAAACUCUUAAUUAACAAAAAUAUAUAAAUUAUAAUGGUUAAGCAAAUAUGUCAUAAAUAUGUAAUUACAUCAAAAUUUAAUUACUAUUGAUUUCUAAACACCCCUAAAAUUUCAAUGAAGCUACCUAAAAGAUAUGAAUUCCACUGCAAAUUUUGUAUUGCUUGGAAUGAAUUGACUGUCAUUUUCUAUUACUUGCCACAAAAUUUUGUAUUGCUUUAAAUUCAGACAAGAAAUAGGAGAAAAAACUACAUGGAAAGAAAUUUUGCUAAUUCAAUUUCCCAAGUCUUUACACAAAGUUGGCUCUAAAUUAAAUUUAGUAAAAGAAAAGAAAACAUGUCUUAAUUUCUGUAUAUUAUAUAAAUCAGUUUUGUUACCUUGGAAUUCUGAUAAGUUCAAUUUGGAAUAUGAUUAAUUUUGGUUAAAUUGGAGUGAAUAUUACUAUUUCCAUUUUAGCAAUUAAAGCAACCUAUAUGUACCCUUUUACACUCUGCAUUGUUCCAUGUUUCAAUUCAUUAUAUCAUUCCUUCAACUCUGCUAUAUAUUAUUACUUUCUCCAUAUAACCAAACCUUUUACUGCUAACUUGUAAAAAAAUUAUGAAAAUACAACACAGAUCAUUGAACCAUUUUGUUCUCCUUUCUCCUUUACUGUGCAGUAGCAAUGAUUAUCGAGACUAAAUUGAAAGUCAUGAAAGAAGACAUAAACAACACCACCAUACAAAAUGUUACACUCAAACAAACCAUUACAGAUAGUACGAAAUGCAAUCAAAGACAGAGGAAUUGGUACAAUAAUAAAGACAGAGACAUACCGAUGCAACCCGUCACCAUAGGCAAAACGGUCUACAGAACAAGAAAUUAUGAAAAUACAACACUAAUUCUUGAACAUCAUUUGCAGUAAUUAGAUCCUUCUUCGUCUAUUGCUUCGAUUGCCUUUCUUUGACUUUCUUCUUCCCCUCGCCUCUUGUUGGUUUUCAACCAAAUUCACCAACCAUUUCGGCUUACCAGUUUGGAAAACAACAUAUCCCAUGGACAUUCCGAACACCACUCCGCAUCCAUAACCUAUCAACACCACUUUCCAACCAAAAGCAAUGUUUGAUUUUGAGCCAUCUUUUUCAAGCACAUUUGGAGGUGCUGGCUCAAUGAUGUUGCAACCUUUCGAGACCGGAAACCCACACAGUCCCUUAUUCCCUUCAUAUGAAUCAUUUCCAAAUGUGUUGAAUUGUUUGCCUUGAGGAAUCUGACCAUGGAGUUGAUUUUCAGAAACAUUUAAGGACGAAAGAAAUGGCAGAUCUGCCAGUCUAUUUGGAAUCGUCCCAGACAACCUGUUUGAAGAUAGGUCCAACCAUUCAAGACUUGUCAAAUUCCCUAUUGAGGUGGGGAUACCACCAUUAAGGUUAUUAUGAGAAAGGUUGAGCCCUUUCAGUAAGUUAAGUUUCCCAAUAACCUUUGGAAUACCCCCUUCAAACUGAUUGUUUGAUAGAUCAAGGAUCAUCCACAUGGUGAAAAUUUUCACCAAUUCCCUAUCUUGUCCUUUCAUAACAAUUCCAAUGGAAUAGGUAUAGAAGCCACUAGCUCUCUCAGCAUAUACCCCCAUGUACGACAUUGUACUCCCAAUCUUCUCUGGAUUUAUGAUAGCCUUGAAGCUGUUGAUGUAUCUCACUGGUAGGGGCCCAGAAAAACAAUUACUUGAGAGAUCAAAAAUUUGGAUUUUAGAGAAAAAAGGGCUAGACUUGGAGCUAUUGACACAUAAGGAACCAUGCAUAUGAUUUGACUUCAAUACAAGAACUUGUAGCUGUGGAAGGCUUCCCAACCAAUGAGGAAAUGUAUCAUUGAUCUUGUUGUUACCAAGAUCUAGCACUUCCAGACCUCUACAAUUAAGGAUGGAUGGUGUCAAAGGCCCUUCUAACAAAUUUCCAUUUAAGUUGAGAUUACUCAGUUGGCAUCCCUUUGCAAAUGUUGGAGGAAUCGUCCCAUAAAACUUGUUCUUCUUCAGAUUCAAGAAUUCAAGGCUGUUGCUCAAAUUUCCAAAACAUUGCGGAAUUGUUCCACUCAAGUAAUUGUGGGACAAAUCAAGAAUUUGCAGAUAAGUGGCAUUGCAUAUUAAAGAAGAGACCACUCCAUUCAAACUAUUAUUUGAGAUCAAAAAGACAUUGAUGGUCGAAGCUGGAAUCGGAAGAUUUCCACGGAUCAAAUUGGAGCUUAAGUCAAGAACUUCAAUAUACUUCCAUGGAAAGUGCUCAACUUCUGUCAAAGAGUUGUGAGAUACAUUUAAGUAAGUUAAAGAGCCAUUCCCCACCUCUUGCAUCCACUGUGGAAUCUUGCCUUCAAUUUUGUUGCAAGAGAGGUCUAACCAUUCCAAACUUUUAAGCCCUUUUAAAAAUUGGGGGAAUUCACUAAGAUUGCAAGAUGACAAAAAUAAGCUAUUAGAUGUUAAGGAUAGGCUGUUAUAUGAAAGGUCGAGAUGAUAUAGAUUUGGAAGGUUUGAGAACAUGCGAAACUCUAUGACACCACUAAGAUUAUUUGAGGAUAAAUCGAGCCAGCUAAGAUUGAGAAGUUGGAAUUUUGAAGAUGGAAGAGGACCUUGGAGUUUAUUAUUUCCUAGAUAUAAAUAUUCUAGUGAUUUGGAUUGGAAUUCUUUGAUAUGCCCACUGAAUUGAUUUUGAGAGAGAUCCAUACCCUCUAAGGAGGGAGCAGUAUACAACCAUGACGGAAGUGUUCCAUUGAGUAAAUUGUCAGAUAAGUCUAAAUGUAUUAGAUUAGGAAAAGCGGUUACCUCAUCUGGAAUGGAACCUUCUAAUGAAUUAUUAGAUAUUUCCAAGAAUUCCAGCUGCGUUAGGUUUAGAAUUGACAAUGGAAUUUGUCCACUCAGUUGGUUCUGCGAGAAGUCUAAAGAAGUGAGUUGCAGGAGGUUCCCCAAUGACAAUGGAAUUUGUCCACUCAAUUGGUUCUGCGACAAGCGUAAAUGAGUGAGUUGCAAGAGGUUUCCCAAUGAUCUUGGAAUUUGUCCACUCAAUUGGUUCCACGACAAGUCUAAACGAGUGAGUUGCAAGAGGUUCCCCAGUGAUUUUGGAAUCAGUCCUGAUAAGUUGGACUUGGAGAUACCUAAAAACUUCAAGGACACAAGAUUCCCCACCGAGUCAGGCAAUCCUCCAAAAAAAUUUGCGCCUAAAAUUAUCAAUUGCUCCAAAGAUGAUAAAUUUGUGAUUGAGACAGACAAUCCUUGAAUGAAAGAAUUUCCUGAUAGACGUAAGUACUUUAAGGCCUGUAGAUUAUCAACUGAAUCAAUGAAUUCUGUAGAGAAGGACAUCCACGACAGAUCCAAAUGUUCAAGAUUGCUGCUCCGAUUGAACUUCAAAGGAUCAAGAUUGAGGUUUUGGUUGUUUCGCAAGUUGAGGAGAUUGAGGUUUGGCAAAUCAAAAAUGUUUUUUGGGAAUUUUCCUUGCAAAUCACAACCACCAAGACUGAGAGACCUUAGAGAAGAGGAUAGAUUCAUGAAGACAUGAGCAUUAACAGAAGACAUGUUGAUUUCAUCCAAAAACAGAUGUCUGACCUCGGUUAGGUUGUGAACAAGUCCCUCCAGAGCAUAUUUGUCAAUUGUUAAUUGUUCCUCAAUCCCAGAAAGAUCAAGUGAAACCAAUUUUGACAGGUGGGAGACUUGGGAUGGGACUUCUCCUGCAAACCCUGUAUGGGAAAGGUUGAAGUAGAAUAGGCUUGUAAACUGACCGAACUCGGAUGGAAUUUUGGAAAGAUUAAAAUCAUUGUAGGCAAGGUUGAGUUUUUGAAGGUGAGGAAGAAGGAAGAGAGUGGUAUUGGAAGGGAAGUUGCCAUAUAGCCAACUGCAGCUCAAGUCAAGGGCAAUAACAUGAGCAUUUAGGUGGUCACAAGUGACCCCAUCCCAUGAGCAGCAAUCUGUACCCUCCUUCCAUGAAUCUGUCUUGGGAUAAGAUUGAUCAUCGCAAUCAAAAGAAGCAGCAUCUGUCUGAGUGAUGGAAAAAGAAUUCUUGAACUGGAUUAGCGAAGAGCAGGAGUGAGAUCCUGAAGAAGAAAAAGAAGCAUAAAGAUGGGGAAAGAAGACUAAUAGGCAGAGAAAGAGAUAGGAGGCCAUGUUAUGUUUGUAGAGGAAGAUGAAGGAUAGGAAUGGUAUUUAUAGGCAACAAAUAAUACCACAACAUUGGUGUUACAGUCUUUCUUUUCUUUUACGCUGAAAAGCUAUGGAUAUUAGAUUUUCAAAAUUUUUGUAUUUUUCACCAGCAUCAACAACCACUUAAGUCUUCUUUUUUCCAUAUAUUUUUCAUUCGUAAAACUGAAUUCUUUUCUUUUAGCAAAAUCUUGUAUUUCAUUUGAACAUGUAAAGAAUGUGUGUGUCUAUUCACUUGCCUGUCAACCAAAGCUAAUUAAUGUGGAUAUUCUUUUCCACACAAAAGAGCAAAAUUGUGCUCUAUUCAGCUACGUUUGAGGAAGAAAAUUGUUGGAAAUUUAAUCCACUGAUUCCGUAAAAACAUGUAUACUUAUAUAUAUAUAUAUAUAUAUAAUUUCAUAACUCAAACCUAAAAUCUCAUUUGUUAUAAAUUAUGAUAAAUUUAUUUGGGAAUAGUUAUUUUUCAUUCGUUAAUUAUUUCUCUUUUAAUCAAGUAUAAAAUUAAAAUUAAAAAGACGUAAUGAUUUAUUUGGUAUUUUUUAAUUUUACAAACAAAAAGUUAUUUUAACUUUUCCUUUUUUUAUCUCUUUUAGUCUUGAAAUUUAUAUGGUUUGUUAAAUCAUCCAAAAAUAAUAAUGAAAAAUACUAACAAAACUAGCACCUACGUGGCUGAUGUUGACCCUUAGUAGCUAAUGACAACACCUACGUAGUUGUUAACAGAUACUACACCAACAUUGUUUGUUGACAUGACAAUGCCACAUGACCAAUAAUUGUUGACAUGGUAGCGCCACCCCAUCGCCCAUUGAUGACAUAUUAACCUUUGAGUUAAACUCAAAUUACUAUUUCCUUUGUUAUAAAUUAAGAGUAUAACUAAUUUUGAUAAGAAUGGUUACUUUUCAUUAACUCAAUUUAAAGGACUAUAACACGUAAAGUUUGGUCUAUUGCAGAAUUCACAUGCAAUACGGAACAUUUACAUUAUGCAGAAUUCAACACAUAUAUGAGAAUUUUUGUAUUUCCACAAUCAUCAUGUUGUUAGUGAUCAACAACUACUUCUUCCUUAUAACACGUCAAGUUUGGUCCCAAAUUAUUUUUCCCACAAAAGAAUAAAGAGGAAGAAGACUACUACAGAUUUAACUAUCAAUUGUCUAUUGACUAUACUUUAACUCCACAAAAAAAGACUAAGACGAAGACUAUCAAUUGUCUAUUGACUAUACUUUUAACUCUACAAACAAAGACUAAGACUAUCACUUGUCUAUUGACUACACUUUAACUCGACAAAAAAAGACUUAAGACUAGGACUAUCCAUUGCCUAUUGACUAUACUUUUUAACUCCACAAACAAAGACUAAGACCAUCAGUUGUCUAUUGACUACACUUUAACUCGACAAAAAAAAGACCAAGACUAAGACUAUCAAUUGUCUAUUGACUUCACACUUGCUGUUGCUUCCUCCUAUCUCUCUCUCCCAAACUUAAUUUACAAGCAAUGUGGAAAUUUUGGACAUUUGCGCCACAAAUAAAAAAUACUUCCACACCAUUUGCAGUAUUGACUACGUUUACUUGAGGGAAAACAAAAACAUGAAUGCUGGGGAAAUUGCAUUAUAGAAAACAUGUGUAUCCUAUAUAUGUUGAACAAUACUAUCUAACAAACAUAUUUUCCGCAAGACUAGAAAAUUUGUAUGUCAUUUUCUAUUACUUGCAAGAAAACUACCGGGGAAAUUGCAUUUCUAAUUCAUCCAUAGGCUUUAAAUUCAAACAAGAAAAGGAAAAUAAUAUAUAUAUCAACAGGAAACUUCUAGGAGAGAGAUUUUGUUACAUCAAUUUUCCAGUUAUUUAAUCUUUACCCAAAGUUGGUUCUAGAUUAAAUUUGGAAAAAAUUAAAAAAGAGGACAUGUAUUUUUUAUUUUUGAAAAGUAAAGGAUUAUAACUCAGCCAAAUAAAAAAGUCACAAUGCAAAGCCAAGAGCCAAAGCCAAGCCAAGCACACACUCAACAAGCAGAAAAACCAACAACAUUGAAAACAAAAGCGAACCGAAUUGCAUCAUUAUAGUGUUAUCUAUACAAUCAAGUGAUGAUAUCCAUAUUAUUUUCCCACUAAUUAAUUCAGUUCAAUAAACAUAAUUUGAAUUAAUGGCCUAAAUUUUAAACUUUGAAGAAACAUAAGGCAACUGAAUGAAAAUUAAUAACCUCCAUCACCAGAUCUGCCCGCGCUUGUCUUCCUACGUGUCCUCCAAGUAAGUAAGAUAGUGAUUCUCUCCUUUAGAGAUCAUGAAGAUAAAAGAUUGAACCUAAACAUCAGGAAAAUAUGUCAGUGGACAUUACAGUCAGAAAAAACAGAUGAUGAAGUACAGCAUCCAAAAUCCAUACCAUCAUUCUUUUUCUUAGAUGUCAAUGCUUACUGCUACUGUGGUCCCAUUGAGGCAAAAUUCUGGGAAAUGUUUGAGCCUUUUACCACAUGUCCAUGCAGUGCCUGCUCACACAAUAUCGGAACUUUGUUCAGUCAAGUUCCUCAAAAGAUAGCCCUGUAAUAUGCAACAUAUAAAUCAGUGUCAGAAAAGGCCAAAGAAAGAGUAAGGAACUGAACUAGUAGAAAAUCAAGAUAACAUACCAUAUUAUCCAGUGCUUGAGCUUUCAGAGCACUAAUCUCGAUCAUUGCACAAUCAGGAAACGCAAAGCUAGCAGCAUGCCAUGUUUCAGUGACUCUGUCACUGAGUUUUAUUUAAAAAAAUGUAAAUUUCAGAAGGAAACAUGAAUUCCAAAGAUCAACGACUCCACUGAGUUUGUCGCUUCAAUAAAAAAUGGUAAGAACAACAAGACCAGUUAACAAUAAUCAAUAAUAACAUUUUCUACAACACUAAAAAUGACUCGUAGGGAUUAUAAAUUUGAGGGGGAAAUGUAUGAACAAUGGGAUCAAUUACACCUUACAAGCAUGUGAUAACUAGCAGACAUAACUCAUACAAGACCUAGAUGUAUUAUUGAACUCUUAUAUAAAAGACAACUGAAGAUGCAAAGCUUAAUUGUUAAGCUUUUCUGAUCCUUGAUAAGCAUAGUUUUAGUUCAGUUCCGAAAUCUAAACUGCUUUGCUAUGGGAUUAUUUUUAUAAGUACAUUGAGAUCCAUGCAUGCUAUUGCGAUUUAUUAUCUUUGAUUCCAUGGAAAUGACGGAAUUCAAACACCAAAAGGUUCAAUUACAUACUAGAUCAUGGAUGUAAGCCAAUCUACAACCUCCUCCCUCCUCGACCUCCAUUUGAAACCAGCAUGAUUUGAAUUCUCAGCCGCAUAUACCCUCACAAACUCCUCAGCAACAACAUAAAACAUAUACCUAACACUCCUUUGAGAACCGAUAACUGCACAGACAGAUUCACUGGUGGAAUCCUUCAAGAAAUAUUGAACCACACAAUUACCACACUCCUGUGAAAUAAACUCCUCCUGCCACUCGAAACAAUGACCAUUUCCAGACAUUUUGAUAGACAAUACACAAUUUGCUUCACUACUUACUCACAUAGCUAAAAGAUGUCCAAUGAAACUGGCAAAGGGUUCUUCCGAAAUGGUACAUUAGCUGCCAAAAAGACAACCACCAUACAUUCAUUCAUUCAGUAAACAGCUUCAAUAUGGCAAUAAGCUAUUAUCUUAAAAAUGCUUUUCUACCACAGAAGAAUAAGAACUAGGCAUCUCAGAAAAUUUGCUAAAUUAAUGACUUUGCUCCCUUCAAAAUAAACAAAUGAUUAACUGCAUUAACCCCAAAGAGGUCACCAUCAACCUCCAGUUGAACUUUCAAGGAAUAAUAAUAAACAAUAGAAGGAAAUAAGGCGGGAAAAAACUAACCAGAACUCAGUAAAAGCUAAGCCUUGAAGAUCUGCAGGUAGUAAGAGAAAAACCCCAUGACGACUAAAGUCCAAGCUUGAAAGGACCAAAAGGGAGCAACAUACGGCUAUGACUCACUGGACCAAGAGAAUCACCAAUGAAUAAAGGAAAAUGGGUACUUUCCUUUAUACCUAAGCAUACAAUAUUUAGCCUCAAAACAAGAUCCUCUUUGGGAAAAAUUCAGGUUUUCACAAAGGGUUUAAGAAAGAGGGUGAAAGUUAAAGAACUUGUCUUUGUUUUGAUGUGUGGUACACGAGAUAGUGAAGGAAAAUAGAGGCGAGGAAAUAAGAUGGAGUAAGUGGUGAAAAAGGAGAGCCUAAAAGAGACAUUUUUGAAGGGUAGUUUAGAAGCUGCAGAGGCUUUGGCAUACAGCAGCUGAUAAUGAGAGAAGACAAACCAGAAACGUAAGUACGACGACGACAAAAAUAAAGUUAAAAAAAUUUUAAGAAUUGAUAAAAUAACAUUUUGUAGCUUAGCGAAUUGGGACGAAGUCCACCAGUCUGAUGCCCAUAGAUCCACACCUGGGAUUUUCUAUUUAGGCUAACCUUCUAACUUCUCCCACCAGUCUUGAAACUUUGCAGAUUUUUUCAAUUUGAUCUGAAUUGUAUGAUAACAUAUCACUUUGAGAUUGGAAAAAAUAAAUAAUUUUUUUUUAAAUUAAAGAAAAAAUAAAGAAACUAAAUUUCAAGCAUGAAAAGUACAAAAGAAAGAACUGUAUUUAUAAAAGAUGAGUUACUUCACCCAGAUUGGAGUACCCUUAAACAAAUUUAUUCUUGUAGAGAAAGAAACUGAAUUUUGAUUUCAUUUGCUGUGGCAAAAUUUUUAAUUUUUAAUUGUGAAAGAAACAGUAUAACAUAUUGAAAGCCUGCCUACGUCUCGGCAGAAAAUUUUACAAAUUCUUUCAUCAGACAAUUUAAAUGAUGCAAUGCAAAGAUUCAUCAAUGUAUGAUCUUUUUACCAUAAAAUGGCUGUUUUACUGGAAAACUUGAUAUGUAUUGUCUUUCACAUUCUUCUGUGCUGAAUGGUCUCCGAAAACUGCAAUCAUCAACUCUAGAUAACCCUUUCCUCAGCGCUGCCAGAGCCGACCUUGUUGUUUCUGUUCUUGAACUCGCCUGUGUCAUCAAAGGCAGUGAGCAUUUAUCAAUGUUAUAAAAAUGGCAUAUCGAAGUCAGAUUUUACUUGACAAUACACAAAUAUAAGAAGAUAAUUCACCUUUGAUACUCUUUAGAAUGCUCGAGAAACUCUUUCGCGAUGUCUUUUCUUUCAUAUGAUUGCAAUACUUGUCUGAUAUCAGCCGGACUAUUGCGCGCUACAUCUGUGAACAAAUCAAAACAAAUGGUACUAUAAUUAACAAAUGAAUAUAGGAAACAUAAAAUUUGAACAAAGGCGAUGUGCAGAGGAAAAAGCAACAACAUAAGACCUACAUUCAAGAAAUGGAAUAAGGUCUAAAAGUGCGGUAUCAUCAGUCUCGAGCUUAAAUGGCUUAAUAGGGACACAAUUUUCUGGUUUUAGGCUAGAAUCAAAUGCAUGAGCACUCACAUAUAAAAUCUUGGUUGGAUCCCUGUUUAGCUUUGAAAGAUCCUGCCAACAGGAACUAUUUGUUAACAAUAAGGCUUCUUUUUAAGUAGCAGCUUGUAAAGGCACUGCCUCAUAGAUUAAUACACGUAGUAUUGUAGAAACUAAGGAGGCGAAAACCAAAAGCAAAAUGUUUUGGAGGGAAGAGAUUGACUAUGACAUGGUAAAAGAAUCAUCGAGGCACCUGUGUUAGGAGUUAGAUUGCAUUUUGCCCCAUUUACUCAGAAACUGAAUAAAUUAGUCCCUGUAUGUUAGAUAAAAGAAAGAGUAAACUAGACUUUCUGUUAAAAACUUCAUCCAUUGCUACUAUUAAAAACUGGUGCAGUUGAUAAAAUAACCAAAUAGUUACACAUAAUGUGUCACGUGUACCUCAUGCUAAUGUACAGGGACCAAUUUUUAACAGUAAAAAUGGAUGGAACUUGUAACAGAAGGGCUAGCUUGCUUUUUCAUCUAAUGUACAAGGAUUAAUUUGCCCAUUUUUUUAGUAGAGGGGGUUAAAUGCAAUAUGACUCCUAGUACAAGGGCCUCCAUGGUACUUUUACCACUAUAACAUACUCCAUAAUGCUUGCCAUUCGGAUAUUUAGUAGCACCCCUUGAUAGCCUAGAUCGUAUACAAUGGUCAGUGUCCAACAUUUCACAAACAGAAUCAACAUACUGCAUAGCCAAGAAAAAACUAAUUAUGAACUUGCAGGCAACAUCAGUUAUGAUAUACUUGUGUAUCUAAAAUGGUAGCCACAAUGACAAUAUCAAAUUACCAUAUUCAUCUGGUCAGAAUAGACGACAAUUUCAUAGAACUUUGCUAGAUGUUCCAGAAAGGCAUCAACACCAGGUCUUUUGAAGGUACGCCAGCCUCUCUCUCGCUUUGUCAACCAAAAACGGAACGUGUUAGAUAUCGUAAAGGUGAAAUGGAAAAUAAUUUUAAGUCAAAUUCUUACCUUCCAGUCUGUAUAAAGUAAUGUCUCGUUCAGAUCUAGGACAAGAGUGAAAACAUGCUGUUCUAGAGGAUGCAAAUCAGGAAGAUGCUUAUCCGAAGUCGGUUCAUUAUAUUCCUGAAAGUACGAGAUAAAAUUAUGAGAACAAAACAAAAGAUAGGCCGACAAUAAUAGAAAACCGGAAACAAGAGAAAGAAGAACACUCCUCACCAGCAAAUGUUCUUCCACUAACCUCCUGAGAUCCAGAUAAGAUUCAAGUGCUUUAGCCGGAACUGAAAUGUUACAAGCAAAGAAACCAGGAAUAAAUUGGGUUCGAACCAGAGCAUGUAAACAAAUCAAUCAUUGACCAACAUGAUAGACAGCAACCAGCACCAACGGAAUUUUCUUUUCUGUCUCAACAAAUCCAUUUAUAAUAAAGCAGCCCAAAUUUUCAAAAGGAAUAUUUUGGUAAAAGUACCAUGGAGGCCACUAAGAGAUGAAUUGCAUUUUGACCCCUCUACUCAAAAAAUUGGCAAAUUAGUGCCUAUGUUAGAUCAAAAAGUAAAUUGGCCCUUUUAUUAAAAACUCUUCAGUUAUUCUGUCAACCAUGCUAGUUUUUAACAGUAGAAAAGAACGAAAUUUUUAACAGAAAGGACCAUUUUGCUCUUUGAUCUAAUGUACAAUGACUAAUUUGCCCAUUUUCUUAGUAGAGGAGGCAAAAUGCAAUCUGACACCUAAUACAGGGGCCUCCAUGGUAUUUUUACCUGAAUAUGUCCGGGUACUAGACAGUGCAAACUGAAUGCCCUGUUAUGCAAAUAUUGUGCUCGUAAUUAGGUUGACAUACAGAACAAAGACUUUAGAGAUAAUUGUAACCAUGAACAAACAAAGAAGCAAUAAGAGAGAGGAACACAAUAACGUCCUCACCUGUCAUUGCAGCGGAGUAAAGCAAGCCUCCAUAUUUCUGAAAAAGAUAUGGAAAAAAAAAAAACUGUUACUUUCAUAUCUAAUUUCUUCAUAGUAUUAGGAUAAACUAAACAAUGGGUAUAUCACAUUAUUAAGACUUAGCUAAGGUACCGCAGAUAUACAUUCAAAUGAUCAAUCAUAAAGGAUGAACUAGGAGGCCCAAUGAUCAAUCAAAAUUACACCUAAACCAGUUAGCUGUCUAAAGCCAAUUGCACAUUAUAUCAAUCAAACAACUAAAAUAAAUAGAGAAAAUCCUUUAAAAUAUUCAAUUUCUAAACAAAAUCAAACUCACAUCAAUAGCAGAUCUUGACAAAGAAACCCAAAAUCACAAAUGAUCCGAUCUUUUUAAAAGGGGAAAAAGAAAACUUACUAUAAGAGAGAUAACCAGCAUAGCCAGUAGUUCCAGUAACACCAGCAAUGAGUCCGUACUUGACAAAGCUCCAAAUUUUCCCUCCCAAAACCUGUGGGGCAACUUUUGGCGCCGGAGGAGGAGGUGUCGACUGAUCGGAGAGAAUGGAUUGUGAAGAAAAUAUUGUUCCUUUAGAAGGAUCCGAACAAGACAUAAUGAUUUAUUUGGCUUUUUUUAACUUUACAAACAAAAAUUCAUUUUAACUUUAGUUUUUUUUUUUAAUCUCUUUUACCCUUGAAACUUAUAUGGUUCGUUAAAUCACCCAUUGAUGACAUAUUAACCUUUGAGUUAAACUCAAUUUGCUCUUUCCUUUGUUAUAAAUUAAGAGUAUAACUAAUUUUGAUAAGAAUGGUUACUUUUCAUUAACUCAGAUUAAAGGACUAUAACGCGUAAAGUUUGGUCUAUUGCAGAAUUCACAUGCAAUGCGAGACAUUUACAUAUACAGAAUUCAACACAUAUAUGGGAAUUUUUGUAUUUCCACAAUCAUCAUCAACAACUACUUCCUCUUUACCAUAUAUUUUUCAUUCAUAAAAUUGAUUACUUUUUUUACCAAAGAAGUAAAAUAAUUAACAUUCAUGAGAUUACAAAGUCUUCUACCUUAUAACACGUCAAGUUUGGCCCCAAAUAAUUUUCCACACAAAAGAAUAAAGAGGAAGAAGAAUGCUACAAAUUUAACUCCACAAAAGGACUAAGGGCCAGUUCUUCAUUAUUUUUGAAAAGUACUUUUGAAAAGUGUUGUGGAAAAGUACUUUUGAGAAGUACUUUUAAAAAAUGUGAGUGUUUGGUAUUGCUGUCAAAAAGUGCUUUUGAAAAAUAAAAUGUUCAUUUUAGACAUGAUAUUAUAAAGUAACAAAUAUGUAUUUAAAUAAUGUUCAAAUUAGUUAAUAUUAUGAUAUUUUAGCAAAAAUAUAAAAAUAAUUUAUUAUAACUUAUUGUUAAUAUUUUAAUAUAUAAUAUUAAUUUUAAAUAUUUCUAAGUAAUUAAUAUUAAUUAUUUAUUAAAUUUAAUUAGAAUAUAUAAACUAUAUUUAAAUAUUUAAAUAUAAUAAUUAAAUAUUUGUAAUUAGAUAUUGACACAAUUGUAUUAUUAUAAAAAUUAUUUUUUAUUUUUAAUUAAUGUUUUUAACACAUUUGUAUUAUUUUAUUUUAAAAUGUAUUUGAAUAUAUAACUCAUAUUAGAUAUUAACAUAACAUAGAAAACAUAAACCUUACAAAUUAAAAUAUUACAUAUAUUUGGAUUAAAGUUUUAAAAAGGGAUAAUAUUUAUAUACCAAAUAUAAACACUAAAAAUUUUACAAUAGCAUUUACAAUUUAAAGUGAAUAUUCAUUAAAUUUUACAAUAGCAUUUACAAUAGCAUCUCUUGUUAAUUCUAUUUCAAAACCACUUGAAUUGUUUGAUUCACCGUCAUCAUCGUCGUCAUCAUCAUCACUUUCUCGACCAUGCGCAUUUUCUGAAUCAAUAAUAUUCUCAUAUGCCCAGUUAAUAUCUUCGUAUUCCAUAAAAUCUGCAUCAUUUCGACCGAAAUAUUUUGCGGAUAAAAUUGUGUAUCGUCAUUGUAGCAACAACGAUCAUGGUUUGCUUUUCAAAACUAUAACUUGGCAUAUCCCUUAAAAUGACCCUUUUUUUUCAAAACACCAAAAGUUCGUUCAAUCACACUACAUAAUGAUGAAUGUGAAUGAUUGAAUAUCUCUUUUAUACCAGAUAUCGGUCUACCUCUACGAAAGUUAGAUAAAUGAUAUCGCUGUUAUUUUAGUACGGCACUCUUUAAUAUGUACCAUUUGCAAUACAUUUAAGUAAAAAUAUUAUUAUAUAGAAAGUCCUAAGGCAGUCAUUAAGAAAACCCAUGUAGUUACUUCAAACAUGUGGUAUUAUUGAUUAUCAAAGUAAUGGCAUUAAAGGCAUGACUUCCCCACUCCACCGGUCCAGCUGCAACUGCAUUAAUGGAGGAAAAAAGACACAUACCUAGCUACAAAAUUAUGGCUUGUUUCCAAACCUUACCAAACCAUGAACUCGACAUGAUACUUCAAACAAUAGAAUCACCAAACUAAAAGAGAAAAAAAGAAUUUCAAAAACUAGAAUAAAUUGCUUGGAUGUUUAAGUUCACCUGGGAAUAUAUAUAUAGAAAGGCAAAAGCUGAAGUAAAAAGCCAGUGUAACCUCCAGAGAGAAGCUUAAAAGAAUGGAAAUGCUAGCAUUUACCAAUCAGAAUUAAUAUAUAGUAAAGUAAUUAAGUUGAAAAAAAGAACUUUGCAAAUGAAGAAGAGACAGAAAACAACACACAUAAAAAAUGGACAAAGACUGAUGAUGUUUUGAAACCAUGCAUCCAGAAAAUAGAAUAAGAAGAGAACAAAUCCAUCAACCACCUCUCUGAAAACUAUCCAUUUGCCAGCAGAGGAACAAAAAACCGGCACCAGCAGAGGAACAAAGAACCAGCGAUGAGAGCAAAGAACCAGCGUUGUGUGUGUGGCUAAAAAAAGUAAAAGACCAGCCCAAAAGCACUAAAGCUAAAAAAUUCUGCUUAAGACUAUCAAUUGUCUAUUGACUACACUUUAAGUCGACAAAAAAAGACUAAGACUAUUAAUUGUCCAUUGACUUCACACUUGCUGUUGCUUCCUCCUAUCUCUCUCACCCAAACUUAAUUUACAAGCGAUGUGGAAAUUUUGGACAUUUGCGCCACAACGUACAAUACUUCCACACCAUUUGCAGUAUUGACUACGUUUACUUGAAGGAAAACAAAGACAUGAAUGCUGGAAAUUUUAACUAGUUUGUUCCGUCAAUGAAGCUACGUACCUAAAAGCCAUUUAGGAUACCAAUUCCUGUAAUUGGAUUAAUCUCAUCGUUGCUGCAAUCUUUUGACAGUGUAAUCGAAUCAUAAAUAGGUUACUCUGCAAUGCUAUUGUAAAUAUGACUCUUAAAUUUGUCGAUAGAUAUAUAGGUUCGGCACAAAAUUAAGAAUACACAAAGGCAGGAUGAAUUAUUCCAUGUUUGAACAUCUGCAACAUAAAUGCAUAUGGCAAAAGGGCUCAAACCAUACCUUAUGUUCAUGAAUUCUCAUCAUCACGUGUUUAUCAAUGCAACUCAAAACUUCAAUAAUUGAAUCUUUUGUAAUUCUACAUGUAUUUUUUUAUGGUGAGCAGUAUAAUGUUUACUAAAAAUUGAAAUUCAAGAAAGAAGACAUACAUAGUUGCACCAUACAAGAUGUUACACUCGAACUAAACCCUUACAAAUAGUACAAAAUGCAAUGAAAUACAGAGGAAUUGGUACAAUCAUAAAGACAGACACAUACCAAUGCAACUUUUCGCCAUAGGAAAAACUUUCUGACAGACUACUAAACAAGAAAUUAUGAAGACACAGCAGAAAGGCUUUAACUUCAUUUGCACCAACUAGAUCCUUCUUCAUCCAUUGAUGCGAUUGCUAUAUUUUGGCUUUCUUCUUCGCCUCUUCUCAUGUUGGUCUUCAACCAAAUUCACGAACCUUUUCGCCUUACCGGUUUGGAAAACAACACAUCCCAUGGCCAUUCCAAACACUACUUUCCAACCAAAAGCAAUUUUUCCUAUUUUAUUUGCAGCGCUGCAUUUUGGUGGUCCAGGAAUAUUUCCUAUUUUAGUCCCCCAUGUUAUUCGCAAUUUGUAAUUUGGUCCUUUCCUUUUAUUAUUUUAGAUUUUUCCCCUGAAUUACUGUUUUAAUGCCAAUUUAGUUCUUUGUUUGUUAUUAUUGCUAUAGAAUUAUUUAGUUUAUUAUUAUUAUUGGUAUUACUAUUAUUAGUUUAUAUAUUUACUUAUUUUUAUGUAUGUACAUUAUUUCAUUUUAUUAUAUACUCUUAUUUUAAUUCUUUUUCUUAUCUAAUGCAUUAGUAUAUAUUUUUAUGUUAAUUCAAUAUUAUCUAUACAUUUUUAAUGAGUUUAUUUUUAUAAUACAUUUUUCUUAAAAUGUUUAUUUAUAUAUACUUUUGUGCUUUAAAUUUUAUAUAACACUAUUAUAUAUAUAUAUAUAUAUAUAAUUUGUAUUAAGUUUUUUUAUUAUUAUUAUACAUAUAUAUACCAAAUAUAUCAUCGAUUUCAUAUUUACGUAUUUUUUUUUACUUAUUUCAUAUAUAAUCUAUUUCAUUUAAAACUUUACUUUAUUAUAUACUUGAUUUAUAUCAACCUUUUAUAUAUAUUAUUAUACAUAUAUUAAUAUUAUUAUAAGAAAUUUUCCAACCCAUAUGUAAUAUUUAUUUAAAUUAAUAUGUAUAUAUUAUUUCAUGUAUUUCAAUUUUCUUCAUAUACAAUAUUCACUUUAAAAUUCAUUUUAAUAUUAUUUUUCUCAUAGUAUUUAUUUUUUAUCUUCAUUUUUGGCUUAUUUCAAACUCAUAUAUGUAUAUUGUUUAUUUUAAAAUUUUACACAUAUAACUCAUUUUUUGUAUUGAUAAUUUUAAAUUUCCUUUUGUGUAUGUUUUUAUUAUUUAUUCUAAAACUUUUUACAUUUUAUUUGAGUAAUUUUAAAUAUUAAUGUUGAUAUUUACGUGUGAUGUAAGAUUAUUGCCCUCAUGUGUAUUGUAUUGCUUAUUUGUAUUAAUUGAUUAUUUGUAUUCAUUAGUAUACAUUUUGGCUUACGAAUUAUCAUUGAUCUUCCUUAUAAUACGUAAAGAACGUGAGUGUCAUGUGUGACCUAUAUUCAUUUAUUUUAUUGCAUAAAAUUCAAGGCAUGUAUGUUGAAUAAUUUUAUCCAAGAAGCAUAUUUUCUACAAAACUUUAAUCGGUUGUCAUUAAAUAUGUCAUUUUCUAUUAACUGCAAGAAAACUAUUCCCUAAACUGCAUCUUCUUCUUUAGAUGAAAUUUUGUAAAAAAAAAAUGACAUUAUCAUUUAUAUGGUCCUUCAAUUUUAUUUAAAAAAAUGUCAUUUUAACUCUCCAUUUAAUUUUUCGCCUCUUUGAGCUUUUAAAUUUGCGUUAUUUAUCAAAUAAUCCCAAAUAGAUGAAAAAGUUAACAUUUGUUAACUGUAUUGACGAGACAUACGUAUCGAUAUCAUAUAAAUAAUUAAUUGAUUUUAAAAAUUUUAAAAACAAAACAUAUAUUGAGGAAAUUUGGAAGCAUUGCAGAAGAAUGUCCAAUAAUUCCACACAAAUUAACAACAAUAUAAACUCAACAUUUUAGUUAUUGUCUAUUGUCCAAUUCACUUUUUUUUCAUUUUCCCAAAACUUAUUUCACUCUUAGCUUUAUUUUUAAAAAAAAGUUAUUUUAGCCCUUAAUUUAAUUUUUUAUCUUUUUUAGCCCUUAAAUCUACAUUGUUUAUCAAAUAACCCUUAAACUUAUAUUGUUUAUCAGGUGAAAAAAUUAAUAUCUAUUAACUUUGCUAACUUGCAUACAUAUGCAACUUCAUUUAAAUCUAAAAAAAUAUAAAAAUAAUUAAAUAUGUAUAAAUCUAAAAAUAUCUUAAAAUUAAAACUAAAUUUUUUUAAACUAAUGCAAAUUUUUAUUAUUUAAAAAAUCUUAAAAUUUUUAAAUUAAAUUCCUUUUGUUUUCCACUGUUGAAGAACUCCUUCAAUCACAUCAACAACUUCCUGCUGUUUUGCAAAUUUAUCUUGUUUUAUUUAUUUCUAAACCCAUAUUUCUUUUCUAUAACUCCAAUUAUUAGAUUGUUUAGGGUUUUGAGUAAUUUUCGAUUUUGGAAUUUUAGAUUUUUUAAAUUUAAAUACGAAGUGCUCUUCUUCUCCAAACCCAUAAUUUUUUCUGUCAAAUUUCAACUCAAGGUUUUACUUUCAACUAUAAAUAAAACAUAUAUUAUAUUUAUAAUGAUCUAAGAGUAGUAGAGUCAAUGCCGAUCUACAUGAAAAGGAGGGAAAAAAACAUAUAUUAUAUUUAUAAUGAUCUAAGAAUAGUAGAAUUAAAGUGAAUGGGUUUUUAAUAUUUUUUUGUGAAAGUUCAAAGACUGAUUAUUUAUGAGUUUGGAUGUGUAAAUAUUAGUUGGAAAAUUUUUUUCUUGCGCCAGUUGAUUUUUUCUAUAAAAUUUGUAUUUAUUUUAAAGAUUUUUAAAUUUUGUUACAAUUAUUUUUAUGAAAAUUUGGAAAUAUAAAAAUACUUUUUGAACUAUAAUUCAAGGAUCAAAUUAGGUAUUAAUCAUUUUACAGAUCAUAGACUAAAUUGCUUUAUUAUUAUUAUUAUUAUUAUUAUUAUUAUUAUUAUUAUUAUUAACACCACUUCCUUUUUAUUAAUUAAGGAAUUUUAAUCAAACAAGGAUAUGAAUCAGAAUUAAUAUAAACUUACCAUUUCAACAUUUCAUAAGCAAAAGCUAAAAUAAUAUUUGUCACAUCCCAUAUGUUCAUAUAUAACCUAUAAGACAAAAGUUAAAACAGCCUUCAGUUCAUCUACAUUCCACGUCAAAUCUGCAAGCAUAAAUUGACAUAAAUUGAGACAUUUUAUUCUCCUUUCUCCUUUACUGAGCAGUAGCAAAGAUUAUCGAGACUAAAUUGAAAUCCAUGAAAGAAGACAUAAACAGCACCACCAUACAAAAUGUUACACUCAAACAAACCAUUACAGAUUGUACGAAAUGCAAUGAAAGACACAGGAAUUGGUACAAUAAUAAAGACAGACACAUACCAAUGCAACCCUUCACCAUAGGCAAAACGGUCUACAGAACAAUAAAUUAUGAAAAUACAACACUCAUUCUUGAACAUCAUUUGCAGUAAUUAGAUCCUUCUUUGUCUAGUGCUUCGAUUGCCUUUCUUUGACUUUCUUCUUCGCCUCUUCUCCUGCUGGUUUUCAACCAAAUUCACCAACCAUUUCGGCUUACCAGUUUGGAAAACAACAUAUCCCACGGACAUUCCAAACACCACUCCGCAUCCAUAACCUAUCAACACCACUUUCCAACCAAAAGCAAUGUUCGAUUUUGAGCCAUCUUUUUCAAGCACAUUUGGAGGUGCUGGCUCAAUGAUGUUGCAACCUUUCGAAACCGGAAACCCACAUAGUCCCUUAUUCCCUUCAUAUGAAUCAUUUCCAAAUGUGUUGAAUUGUUUUCCUUGAGGAAUCUGACCAUGGAGUUGAUUUUCAGAAACAUUGAAGGACGAAAGAAAUGGCAGAUCUGCCAAUCUAUUUGGAAUCGUCCCAGACAACCUGUUUGAAGAUAGGUCCAACCAUUCAAGACUUGUCAAAUUCCCUAUUGAGGUUGGGAUACAACCAUUAAGGUUAUUAUGAGAAAGGUUGAGCCCUUUCAGUAAGUUGAGCUUCCCAAAAACCUCUGGAAUACCCCCUUCAAACUGAUUGUUUGAUAGAUCAAUGAUCAUCCACAUGGUGAAAAUUUUCACCAAUUCCGUCUCUUGUCCUCUCAUAACAAUUCCAAUGGAAUAGGUAUAGAAGCCACUUGUAUGAUCUUCCACACCCAUGUAUGGCCUUGCACUAGCAUUUUUCUUGAGAUUUAUGAUAGCAUUGAAGCUGUUGAUGUAUCUCACUGGUAGGGGUCCAGAAAAAUAAUUGCUUGAGAGGUCAAAAAUUUGGAUUUUAGAGAAAAAAGGGCUAGACUUGGAGCUAUUGACACGCAAGGAACCAUGCAUAUGAUUUGACUUCAAUACAAGAACUUGUAGCUGUGGAAGACUUCCCAACCAAUGAGGAAAUGUAUCAUUGAUCUU